CAACUGCCUCUCAUCUAGAAACAGUCCAGCAAUGGUUCCAACACCAAACUGCCCAACAAUAGGAGGGGAGAAAGGCCAUGGUCAUCACCAUGUGUGGCCUAAAUUACAGAAGAAAUUCAGUGGAAAGGAAAUGCCUACGUAAUUCCUUUACUCUGCUUCUACAGGGAAGAAAACGACCUGAAUGUAUCUUACGAAGACACCAACAAGCGCAAGUUACCACAUUGGCAGCUAUUUUCAUUUUUGUUCCCCAAAUCAAAAUGAAACAAUUGGUAACAAGAAAUUCAAAGUGCAGCAAAGAGGAUAACAAGAAGGUUUUUUUCUGAUGCACCUUUGACCUUUCUAAAAGUUAAUUAUUUUCUCUCAUUCAUAUACUUUUUUGUCUUAAGUUUCUCCCAUGAUUUUAUUCAGGAAAAAAUGAAAGACCUUCCUUGAGGGAGGGAGAUAAAGACUAGCCAAAGAGACGACUGACACCUUCACCAGAGACUGGAUUCCAGUCCAAGAAUUGGCACUCGGCAACCACAAAGUACACUCAAAGUCUAACAUUGCCUCCUGGGUGCCCGGAGCUGUCUCUAAGUGUGGAGACGCCUGUUGAGGAACACCCCACGGCUGCUGAAGGACCAGUACAAGUUCCCCGGGCAGGGAAGUGAGGGUGGUGAGGAAGAAGGCAUUCCAGGUCUGAUGAAGGUCCAUUGCUCGAAGUCCACACCCUGAGUCUAUAAAGGAGAGGGUCCUGGAAAACCGGCUUCCCAAGCUAGCACUUGGUGGAGUGCUAGCCAGGUGGAGCCUCGGCGCCCUGGCAACGUCCCGUGUGUCUGCACAGGGAUCCACAGCACCAUCCUCGCCCCCUGAAACCCAGCUCGCGCUGUGUGGCUCUGGCUUCCGCUACUCCAGUAGCUUCACAGUAGAGAAUUAACAUCCUACCACUUUGCAUUUGCCCAAGGGGACCUUACCCAGCUUUUGACGGCUUCUGUAUUUUAGUAAAGUUUCCUUUGCCUCUUUUCUACUAUUCUCUCAAGGUUUGAGUAUUUAUGGUCUACAUGGUGUUCUAAUGACAUUCUCUUCUACAUCAUCCAAGUCACUCUCAAAACAUUAAACAUCACAGACCUAAGAUUAGCACAAUCCCAUAUGACCCUCAAGUGGGCCCUAAAUCACCCAGGCCUCUCAGCAACUUGACUUUCUACUCAGAAAGGAAUUUGUGAAGAAUGAUUCUUUGAUUAUUUUUGUUCGUUUCAUUAACUUUUGGCCAAGGCUGUUUUUAUUUUUCUGUUAUUAGUAACUCGGAUACAAUCCCUUUUUAACUCCUCAUUUAGUUUUAGUACAAAGCAGUUCAUUAACGCAAAACCAAAUCAAAUGUUUUGACUUCCACUCUUUUAUCUUAAUCAAUGUAACAAAAGUAAAAACAAAAAAUACAAAAUCAUGAACAAAACCUGUAUAGAAAUUCGUUAAAUAAAGAGGAAGGGCGAAGAGAGCUUCUUGAA
rnacentral:lncRNA from 1 species